rnacentral:tRNA from 1 species
UGAAAUAGCUCAGUCGGUAGAGCAAUUGAUUCGUAAUCAAUAGGUCGCAGGUUCGAUUCCUGUUUUCAGC